CCUACGGGUGGCAGCAGUGGGGAAUCUUGCACAAUGGGGGGAACCCUGAUCCAGCGACGCCUCGUGAGUGAAGAAGUAUUUCGGUAUGUAAAGCUCUAUCAGCAGGGAAGAAAAUGACGGUACCUGACUAAGAAUCCCCGGCUAACUACGUGCCAGCAGCCGCGGUCAUACGUAGGGGGCAAUCUUUAUCCGGAUUUACUGGGUGUAAAGGGAGCGUAGACGGUGCAGCAAGUCUGAAGUGAAAGUUGGGGGACCAACCCCGGGACUGCGUUGGAAACUGUUAACCUGGAGUACAGGAGAGGUAAGCGGAAUUGCUAGUGUAGCGGUGAAAUGCGUAGAUAUUAGGAGGAACACCAGUGGCGAAGGCGGCUGACUGGACUGUAACUGACGUUGAGGCUCGAAAGCGUGGGGAGCAAACAGGAUUAGAUACCCGAGUAGUC
rnacentral:rRNA from 1 species